GCUGAGGCCAGUGCAGGCUCCUCUGCCUCCUACCGCCCAGGGCAAGCUUAGGAGGUGUCCUAAACCUGCCUAAAUUGCCAGGGCAACUGUGAGGCAAUGCACAGAAGCUCACUCGGCCACAGGGUGAUACAGUGGACCCACGCAGAGCCAAGGAAGCUGCACAGGGACAAGGGCUGAUGAUAUUGAAAGUUCAUAUGGAUCAGGUGAUUUCACUGUGAAAGGCUUCCUCCACAGACUGAGCAUCAUCAAUGACUGGGCAAAAUUCCACUGGGCUCUUCUAGACUUUUUCCAAGGACUAUUUCUGGAAACAAACUUCAACAUUCCCAGGUUUCAAGCUUUGAGUAUUUCUGCAUUGACAGUUGCAACCGAUUAAUUCCAUUGGAUGGUUUCUUGUUCUGAAGUUAAAAUUUCAAAGUAUCUGAUCCUGGCUUAAUGUCACUCAAGAACUUACAAAAGCAAAGUUAAAACCUGCCCUUCUAACAAACUGCUUAUUUAGGCUUUUGUGAAAUAUACUUUUAUUUAAUUCCAACGGAGCAAGCAUUUUCUGUUUACCUGACCCUAUUCCUUGAAUGGUCUCAUUUCUCUUAACCAG
rnacentral:lncRNA from 1 species